AUCACAGAACAACGACUGAAAGAGCCACUGGCCUUUCCACAGUUGUGGAUUCUGUUUUCUCCCAACCUUCAGAAACAUCAAGCAGGGAGCUGCACAGAGAAGCAGAUCAAGAACACUCCAGGAUGUCAGCGGAGAUGUGUCAAAGACGACCAUCGAGAGAAGGCUAUCCAGUACGUCACCUAUAUUGAUAAUGUAAUAGCUAGGUUAGUUUGCAUUAAAAAGCCUGUAGAGUUCUGGAACAAAGUGUGAUGGACAGAUGAGACAAAGAUCAACCUGUACCAUAGAGAUGGAAA